AGAGUUUGAUCAUGGCUCAGAUUGAACGCUGGCGGCAGGCCUAACACAUGCAAGUCGAGCGGAUGAAGGGAGCUUGCUCCUGGAUUCAGCGGCGGACGGGUGAGUAAUGCCUAGGAAUCUGCCUGGUAGUGGGGGAUAACGUCCGGAAACGGGCGCUAAUACCGCAUACGUCCUGAGGGAGAAAGUGGGGGAUCUUCGGACCUCACGCUAUCAGAUGAGCCUAGGUCGGAUUAGCUAGUUGGUGGGUAAAGGCCUACCAAGGCGACGAUCCGUAACUGGUCUGAGAGGAUGAUCAGUCACACUGGAACUGAGACACGGUCCAGACUCCUACGGGAGGCAGCAGUGGGGAAUAUUGGACAAUGGGCGAAAGCCUGAUCCAGCCAUGCCGCGUGUGUGAAGAAGGUCUUCGGAUUGUAAAGCACUUUAAGUUGGGAGGAAGGGCAGUAAGUUAAUACCUUGCUGUUUUGACGUUACCAACAGAAUAAGCACCGGCUAACUUCGUGCCAGCAGCCGCGGUAAUACGAAGGGUGCAAGCGUUAAUCGGAAUUACUGGGCGUAAAGCGCGCGUAGGUGGUUCAGCAAGUUGGAUGUGAAAUCCCCGGGCUCAACCUGGGAACUGCAUCCAAAACUACUGAGCUAGAGUACGGUAGAGGGUGGUGGAAUUUCCUGUGUAGCGGUGAAAUGCGUAGAUAUAGGAAGGAACACCAGUGGCGAAGGCGACCACCUGGACUGAUACUGACACUGAGGUGCGAAAGCGUGGGGAGCAGACAGGAUUAGAUACCCUGGUAGUCCACGCCGUAAACGAUGUCGACUAGCCGUUGGGAUCCUUGAGAUCUUAGUGGCGCAGCUAACGCGAUAAGUCGACCGCCUGGGGAGUACGGCCGCAAGGUUAAAACUCAAAUGAAUUGACGGGGGCCCGCACAAGCGGUGGAGCAUGUGGUUUAAUUCGAAGCAACGCGAAGAACCUUACCUGGCCUUGACAUGCUGAGAACUUUCCAGAGAUGGAUUGGUGCCUUCGGGAACUCAGACACAGGUGCUGCAUGGCUGUCGUCAGCUCGUGUCGUGAGAUGUUGGGUUAAGUCCCGUAACGAGCGCAACCCUUGUCCUUAGUUACCAGCACCUCGGGUGGGCACUCUAAGGAGACUGCCGGUGACAAACCGGAGGAAGGUGGGGAUGACGUCAAGUCAUCAUGGCCCUUACGGCCAGGGCUACACACGUGCUACAAUGGUCGGUACAAAGGGUUGCCAAGCCGCGAGGUGGAGCUAAUCCCAUAAAACCGAUCGUAGUCCGGAUCGCAGUCUGCAACUCGACUGCGUGAAGUCGGAAUCGCUAGUAAUCGUGAAUCAGAAUGUCACGGUGAAUACGUUCCCGGGCCUUGUACACACCGCCCGUCACACCAUGGGAGUGGGUUGCUCCAGAAGUAGCUAGUCUAACCGCAAGGGGGACGGUUACCACGGAGUGAUUCAUGACUGGGGUGAAGUCGUAACAAGGUAGCCGUAGGGGAACCUGCGGCUG
rnacentral:rRNA from 1 species